rnacentral:lncRNA from 1 species
GUGAAAAAGGUAAGAUUUUUCAACUUAAGCUUGAAAUCUAUUUUCCUUAAGCAUUUCUCCUUAUUUUCCAUGCUUAAAUUACAUGUUGUCAUGAUGAAUUCAUGGCUGGUCAAAAUGGGUAUGGAGAGAGAAAGAUGUUAAAUUGAAUUGAUUUUAAGAUAUGUUAGUGUUUUUAGUUAGUUUAGCAUAUUUAGAAACAAAACAACAAGAAAAGAAUCCAUUUUUCCAAUGUACCUUCAAUGGCCAAACCCUAUGUGAAGUGUAGAAGUAAUGAAUUGAUUUUGAGAUCAAGUGAUUUGGUUGAAAAAUUGAUGAAAUGAUGAUUUAUGGUGAGAAAAUGGAAUGGGAUAAUUUUUAGUGAUAGUGCACCACAAUGGCCGAAAUUUUCAAGAAGAAUUGUGAGGGUUGUUAGGUUGAAUUUUAGAUUAUUGGUAUUGUAUUUAGUGAAUUGAAAUAUUAGAAAUGAAAUGUAGCAAUUUGGAGCCAAAUCGGACACAAUUGUCAUUAAUCGGAUAAUAGGCCGAAUUAGGUCAGUACCGCAUUUAAGCGGUAGUCAGAUAAGUUGCAUAUCAUAUCAUGGAUAUACAUUGAGCCUGAAUUGAUUUUAUAAUGGUCAAGCAUUGAUGUGGUGAAUUAUGUAUUGUACAUUGUGGAUAGGUGAUGAGCAAAUUACACUGGUAAAAGUACAGAGAUUGUGCUUAGAGACUGGGAUUAGGAGUACAUCGACUCAUAGAACUGUGAGUAAACUUAUUAUCGUCUCAAUUAUCUAGAGUAAUUUUAUACAAUUGUGUGAUUUUAUAGAAAAUGGGUUUAAAUGGUAAAUUGCUAUGUUAUAGGAGAAAUUGUGAUUUUAUAAAAUAAUUUUAUAAAUUUUCUAGAAAAUUGAAUACUGGUUUUGAAAAUAAAGUAAUUGGAGAUUGUCUGCUUGUGUUAUAAAUUGUGUUUUAAAUUAUAUGGCUUAUAGCAAUAUGUGAGCAUGAAUGGCAAAGUCGGUAUUUGUAUCAAAAUUAUAUAUACUAUGUAUUCAGCCUUGAGGGGCUAAAUUGCAAUAAAUUACCAUGUCAUGCAGAUAAAGAUUUUAUAAAUCAGGUGGUAGAUAAAAUAAUCCAUAGUCACUGUAGUGGUGGGGGUUUUCGUGGACUGUCUAUGAGAGGGGUACGGUAACCCAAUUAUAUAUUUACCUCCGGGGGGAGAUGUUGGAUGAAGUAUCUCUUGAGGUAAAGAUUUGAGUGCACUUCACGUGGACCACCGUGUGAGAGUGAGACUCAGCUAACGCCAAGGCAUGGCUAAAAUUUCAGAUGUAAAGACACUUAACCGCCUUUGUGGUCUCGGUCAGAUGCCUAGGCCAAGGCAUCCCCGGGAAUGAUUUUGGCACGAGCCAAGUUUUGUGAGAUAUAUAAGCCAUGUUGAUUAAUUGAGGAAACUGAAUAUUCAUGUUAUGAAACAUAUAUUGGAAAAUAAUAUUUUAAUUUGUCUCCAUUUACUCGCCUUUAGAUAGUUUAGAUGGUAUCUGUUUACUCAUUGAGAUUUUAUAAUCUCACCACCCUCCUUUCCUCACAUUUCAGGCUCGGGGAAUUCCAUAGUUAGCUAACUUUGACGAGGACCUUCAUUUGGACUUGAAUCGACAAAAGCUGUAGGUUUUCAGCUUCCGAUGCAUUUUGGUUAGAUAUGGGCCCACGUGUCAUUGUAAAAGUAAUUUUAUACUUUAGUUAUCUGAUUUAAAGUAUGUAUGAACAUAUUUAGCUUUUACACCAUGUUUUUGGCAAGUUUCGGUAUUUUCGAAAAAAAAUUGACAAAAAUGCCCUUGUGAGCCAAAAAAUAAUAUUAUAUUGUUUUGAUUUGGAAACGACUUAUGAUUUCUUGAAAUGCGAGAUUUAAUAACUGUCGCUUACCGGGAAGAUACGAAAGCUGAUGCUAAGCCUUGCGGGAUUUCGAUCGGCAUUCGGGGUAAUGAGUGCCUAUCGGGACAUCGCGGUGGUUGUCACUGGCCCGAUGGGAGUUCCGGGUCAUGACAUCAUAUAGUCCACAUAAACACAAAUCCAGCCAUGCUUGCCAUCACAUUGUCAUAAGCCAUCAAUUCAAACUAUAUGUCAAAACAUAUAUAUAACACAAGUAUAUAGUCUCCACUUACUCAAUUUCCAAAACCAGUAUUUAAUUUCAAAACAAGUUAUAAAUCUUAUUUCGUUUUAUCAACACUUCAAUUGUAAAACAUAAUAGUUUGCAAUUUAAAUUCAUUUUUCUUUAAAACAUAAAAACAAGUAUAAACUACUUUAAAUAGUUAAGAUGAAAGUCUAAUUACUCACAAUAAGAAGAGUAUGGAGUACUCCUAUUCUUGAUCCUUGGGUACGAUAUCCUUACCCUUACCAGAGGGCUCACCACCUAUACAUAAUACGUGGCACGUAAUUCAAUAAUUGGUGUCAAAUUGUUAUAAAACUAUUUCAGACUCUAUAUGAAUGCAUGAAGUUGAAUGAGAAAUGUUCGGGUAGUCACUUAAAGACGGUGUUCUACGUAGGUUCAAUUGUGAUCGAAAUGAAUUUGUAUUUGACCUAAUUCGAACUAUACACCAUUGAUUUAACCAAAACAUCCGAUUCAACUCUAAAUAUAUUCAUUAUACUUCCAAUAAUCUAAUACACCAAAGCAUUACAAUGAACUUGAUUUUUUUUACUAACUUCACCAUUUUCCAAAAUUCAUUCUGAUUUCGAACUAACAUACUAAUGAAUGUCUACACAGUCUCGUAUAUCCAUAUAUAUAUCAUUAGGAAUCAAAUCCAAGUCCAUUUACCAUGAUUUUCUCAUUUUCCAUCAAGCCAUUUUCUAAAGGAACUAUACUUUUCAAUAACCGGUUUCGAUAUCCAACAUCAUAAUUCAUCAAUUCCUAGCUACAUAACAUGAAUUACAACCAAAUCCAUCAUUAACAUGCCCUAACGAAAAUUUAGCCAAAUGAGGGUGGUUGAAGAACAUGUGAUUUUCUUGCUUGUUUUUCCUUCCAAACAUCACAAAAUGACUAAAAACACUAGGAUAUUAUGAAAUCUAUCAAAAUUCAUCACCAAAACUUCUCUCUCUAGAUUUGGCCAGCAAAGGUUUCCUCUUGAAAACUUGAAUUUCAGCCAUGGAGAAUGAAAAAGAAUGCAUGGGAAAGGUAAAUCACAAGCUAAAAUUAAAAAAUCUUACCUUUACUUGCGUGAUUCCUUGAAAUCUAACAAUUUCUCUUGAAUUUUUCCUUCCUAGGGUUUGUUCUUCUCUUUUUCUCUUUGUUCCCUUGCUUGGCCGGCCAUAAGAGUGAAAUGGGAGAAGCUUAAGUCGGUUUAUAAAGGAAAAUCAUAAAAAUAUUAAAGCUUGACACAUGUCACCACUUGAUUGGUCCAUGAUUAAAAACUUAACCAUUAAGCAAUUUCUCACCACCACAUGUAAUCCCAUAAUUAUCCAAAGUAUAAAGUGAUAAUAGGUGAAAUUCAUGGGCUUGACAAGUGUCAUGGUGGUGUAAAAUUUCAAUUACGUCCUCAUGGACACGUGAAAUGACCGUUUUGCCCUUAUACUCGAAAAAUGUCGAAAUUGAAAAUUUUCACUCCACAAUUUCAAAUUAUGCUCCAAAUAGUCAAACUUGGUCAAAAAUCUUGUCCAACAUUCCAAUUUUGCCCUUGGAUGGCAAAAUGACCAUUUUGCCCCUACAUUAUGAAAAUUCCCGAAUUAACUCCAAAUCAAUCCUCGAAUUUCGAAUCAUCAUAUUAAGACAUUUUAAGGUUCAAAAUCUCUCAAAUGCAUCUUAAAAUCUCUAUUUGGACUAAUUCGAGGCUUUAAUCAACCUAAUUGUACCACUAAGUACAAUAUUGACUUUUAACGAUUUUUCGAUACAUUCACUUAUGCAAACAUUCUAUCAAGCACAUGAAUGACAUGACAAGUAUAUAAUAGAGUAGGGCUUGAUAGUUACAGAAAUAAAAUCGUACUAGAAAAUAUGUUGAUCUUUUGAGAUAUUGAAGAGAUUGUUAGAGAAAUAAAAUCUUAUUAGAAAAUAUCUUAUUAACUAUUUUAAUUUUCAAACACUUCUCAAGUCGUCUGUGUCUAACCGCUAUUGGUAUUUAACCUUCCUUGUGACUUGCUCUAAAAUCUAAAGGGAAAGGCAAUGACCCUCAAAAUUGCACUCGAAUGAGACUUGUAAGUUUGCUUUGCUAGUGAUGGAAUGGACAACCAUGUUUUCUAGAAUUUCUCCAAUAUUAUUAUAGUGUAGUAAGUUUUUUAUUUAAUAUUUCAUGAGUAUUUAAGGUUGUAAUUAUAUAUUAUUUAUGUUUAAUAUGUGUAGGUUAAUGGAGAAUAAAGAAAAUAAUUUGUCAGAUGUAAAAUAUUUGCGUGAACUUUCAAAAGAUGAUAUACUGGGUUUGGAGUUUGAUGAUUUAGAAGAUGUUUAUGAAUUUUAUAAAGCAUAUGCUUGUGCAAUGGGCUUUGGUGUUCGUAAAGGCAGCUAUAGGCGAAACAAAGACGGAAUUGAAGUUAUGAAAUAUUUUGCUUGUUUGAAGGAAGGACAUAGGGCUGAAAAAUGGGAAAAGCUAGAGAAUCGGGUGCGAGAGCCUAAAAGGCCAUCUAGAACAGAUUACAAGGCUAACAUUCGGGUCAUUCUGAACAAAGAUACAGGAAAAUGAUAUGUUUCACAUUGUGAACUUGAACAUAAUCAUCAAAUGGUAAAUCCUGCUCAAAUAUGUUUCAUUCGUUUGAAUAGGCAAAUUAAAGUAGCCGAUGUUUGUGAAGCAAAAGCUAUGAAAGUUGCAGGUAUGAAAACAUGUCAAGUGAUGAAUGUUUUUGCAGCUCAAGCAGGAGGCAUUCAAAAUGUUGGUUUUACUAGUAAAGAUUUUUAUAAUCGUAUGGCAAUCGAAAGAUAUGCUGAAGUCAAUGAUGGUGAUGUUCAAGCGACGUUGUUAUAUUUUGGAGUUGAAAAAGAAAUAGAUAAUGGCUUCUACAUGAAGCAUACGACUUAUGAUGAUAACAAACUGAAAAAUUUAUUUUAGGCUGAUUCUAUAUCAAGAUUAGAUUAUGCUUGUUUCGGUGAUGUUUUGGCAUUUGACACAACUUAUAAGAAAAACACAUUUAAUUUGCCUCUUUUGGUUUUCAUUGGUGUGAACCAUUAUCAUAUGACCACCAUUUUUGCAUUAGCAUUGCUCACAAAUGAAGAUGCUAAAAGCUACAUUUGGGUUUUGACCACAUUUUUAGAAUGUAUGAUGAACAAAAAGCCAUUAUCUGUGGUUACUGAUGGGGACCGAGCUAUGAGAAAGGCAUUGAAAAUGGUGUUCCCUGGAGUAUGACACAGGCUAUGCUCUUGGCAUCUUGCUCGUAAUGCCCAAGCAAACAUACCACUUACCUGGAUUCGUUCAGAAUUUUAAAGCUUGCAUGAAAUCUUGGUGGACGAUUGAUAAGUUUGAAAGAGAAUGGAAAGAGAUGGUAAAAAAGUUUACAUUACAAGGACAUCAAUGGAUAGAUGAGAUGUAUAAAAAAAAGCAUAUGUGGGUGCAAUCACACUUGAGUGGUGAUUUCUUCGGAACAAUUACGAGUACGUCACGUUGCGAAGGUUUGAAUUCUUUUAUAGCUUCUCUUGCAAAAGAGAAGAAUACGUUAUUGGAGUUUGUUAGAGCAAUUGAAGAUGGAAUUAAAAAUAUUCGAAAUAAUGAGAUUGGUGAAGAUUACAUAUCUAUCCAUACAAAGCCAGUUUCAAGCCAAAUUUUCAAAGAUAUUGAAAAGCAUGCUGUAAGUGUUUAUACAGGAAGAACAUUCAAAAAGUUUAUAGAUGAGAUGCGUCUACAAUAAUUAUUUUACCAUGAAUGUCACUUCAAUGAUGAGCCAUCUAUACGUGUCACAGCCCAAAUACCAGGCCAUGAUCUGCACAUGGGCCCAAUGCGCAUAGCCCACUAAGCCCAAGCAAGCCUUUUCAUGCAAACCCGAUCAUCAUUCCCAACCAUCAAUUCUAAAACCACAUAUUGAAAUUCUGAAAUAAAAAUAUUUCAAUAAUAUUCUAUAGUGACCCAAAACUCACAAUUUUUUAUGUCAAAAUAAUAUCACCCGUUUGCCAACUCAUAGUGGCAUUCAGUAAUCAAAUAUACAUAAUUGACUUAUAAUAUGGAUCCUAGCAAAUUACAUUACAUAUACGCGUUCACAGGUUACAGACCCUUGACCGUCAGCGGAGUGACCAUAGGUGAAGGUACAGCUACUUAGAUGCCAUAAUACCUACCAAGAAGGCGAGCAUAUGUGGACAACUCAAUCUAGGUCCUAACUGCCUCCAAAUCUGAAAACAUGAAGUUUAAAAACGUGAGUAUAAAACUCAGUGAGUGAACAUAAGAAGGGAAUAAGCAAUCAAUAGGAAGAAUUUGGAAAUCAUGAUGCAUUUGUUUCAAAAACAAUGCAAUUGAUUUAAUUUCUUACUAAAAACCCCUCAUUUCAAACUUUGAUCAAUAACCUCAUAGUGUUGUAAAAACCCAUGAUCAAUCCAUGAAGUUAAAUGGGUGAAAAAUAGGUCAAAAUCAAGCAUGGCAGCAAGUUUCUCGCUGCAGCGAGAAACAAUCUUAGUUUGCAUAUGUUUAAGUUUUUCUAUCAUAUCUCCCACUACAGAAGUCCAAUUGACCUGAUUUUUAGACCAUUAGAAAGCUAAGAGGCAGGGAUACAACUUUUAUGUUUACUACAUUUCCCCUUAACUUUUAUGUUUAUCACAUUUCCCAUUUCGGACUGAAAGGUGGUCAAAAUUUUCAUCGAAGUGAAAACACUACACCAGAAUCCGAGAGUUUCUCGCUACAACGAGAAUCAGGUCAGUGUGACCCCCAAAACCCGAGAGUUUCUCACUGCAGUGAAAAUGAAUCUCGCUGCAGUGAGAAACAGAGCAUGUUAAGUGAAAUGGGUCUUGUUACAUCAAAAGCCAUUUUAUUGUUGAAAUGAAAAGCAAUUUAGGAGCAAUUAACAAUGCCAACAUGCAACACAAUCACAAAUAUUUUUCAUAACUUUCUAUAACGCACACAUAUAUAUACAUAUGCAUUCAUCAUCAUGUGUGCACUCCCUACUCGCACACUUCAACAUCAUCAUGUAUGCACUCCCUACUCGCACACUUCAACAUCAUUAUGUGUGCACUCCCUACUCGUACACUUCAACAUCUUCACACAACAUUAUUCAUCAAUGCACAAUGUAUAUUCAUAUACAUACAUACCAACAUACUAUAGGAGCACAUGGAUUCAUCUUUUUACACAUUUCACAUUUUCACAAUAUCAAAGCAUUUUAUCAAGGGCUUGUUCCCCGGUACAUAUUUUUAAACAAAGGUUGGAUAAAAUCAUUCAAAUGUUUCAUCCAAAUACAUUUGCAUUUCCUAAAGCAAAUUUUUAAAUGCAAGUUCACUCAUCGGUCUUGUUGAUUCUUUUGCUUGACUCUAACCUCAACUAAUUCUUCAAAUAGACAUGUGAGGCCUUGUUGGAACCUAUACACACACAACCUCACAACCAACCCAAAUUGGCUUUAAUAUAAUUCCAAAAGCUCUUUCCUACUCAAGUUCUACUAGUUAUUCCUAGCUAGCUUCCAAUUACCAUUAAGUGGCUGUUAUUCACACUACUCUAGUCACCCUAAGAGUGAAUAAACAACCUCAAUGAUAAAACACUCACAAACCCCAUUGUUAGCUAUUAUCAACAACUACAGAAAUUUAACCUUAACUUAUACUCACCUUAAUGUUCUUUGUAGUUGAAUUCUCUUUCAGAAUUCUUCAAGCUAACAAGGGAAAUCACUUUCUCUCUCUACAUGUCCAGCUAGUGAGAGGAAGAUGGAAGUAAGACUUUUUAAGGGUUUUAAGGUGAGAUAGUGAAAGAGCACAAAAGGUUCUAUGAAAAAGUGCUCAAAAUCAUGAAAAUUGAAGCUAGAGAGAAAGUUAUGGAAGCUUUAAGGGAGGCUCCCAUGGAGAUGAAGAAAUGUGAAAGGGGAAAGGAAGAAGGAAUGGUUGGAAGCUGCUGGAAAUUGCUGAAGCUUUUGAUAUUUAUAUCUAAAGUUUAUCCAUUUCUCACAUAAAUUACCAAAAUACCCUUAACAUGGUGACUUUGUCUUCCUCCCAUCCUUUGUGCAACCUUUUACUCUUUUGACACUGGGGUAAGGUCCAUAAUAGUCUAGAAAUACUCGGGUUCACGAAAACUUAAAAAUUUAGACUCGAGAUGCAAAAUGACCAUUUUACCUCUAUCGUGAAAAUUAUCAUUUUUUUAUCUUUUUCAUUUAUUUACCAUCAUAAACAUCAUUCAUUCAUUCCUUAGGCCUAUUUAGACCUUAAUAGCAUCAAAACAACCCACUCGUAGGAGCUCACCAAGAGAAAUUACGAAAUUACCCCUGGUUCGUAUUAUCGCGUCUACUUCUAGUUAUGUGUCUAUGGAGAUCGAGAUUUCACAAGUUCACUUCUGGAUUACGUUUUUUAACUUGGUAAUUAACCUCAAUUGGCAUCUGUAAACUUUAUUAGCCACUGUAUCAAAAUACGGGGUACUACAGUCUUUCCCACUUAAAAUGAAUUCAUCCUCGAAUUUAAAUCGACGUAGGGUGAAUAAUCAAAGUUCUGAAGUUUUGCCACAUCACUUUCGUCAGGCAUUCUUAACAUAGAAUCUUGGUUUAUGCAUCAUAUUGACUUCCAACCUUAUAGAAAACUCGACAAUUUCAUAGUAUAUAAUCAUGUGUACUACUCUUAUUAGAUCAAAACAAUAUCAUCCUUCAUCUUAUGAAGAGAAUUCAAAUAAGCUAUUAAUUCUGGUCGCACCUCAAUCAAAUCAUCCUUAAAUCAUCAAUUAUGCAUGUUUACUUAACCAUCCGCAACUCCUCUACCUUGCUCCUUUAUCAAACCUUCCAAUAUUCAAGCAUUUAGUCCACCAUUGACUAUGGGUCUAAUUUGUCAACCAAUCUCUAUUUCAUUUUUCAUUUUCUCAUACAAAUUUCAUUUAAGCAUUUCACAAUAUAUAAGGAUCAAAUGCUCUUUAUUCAUUUCAUCUAUUUUUUUAAUAUCAAAGAUGAUUCAAAUCUAGUAACCAUUAGUCAUCAUAUUCCCAAAAACAAACUCCAAUUCUUUCAUGAUCGAGUGCUCACUAGAUAAAUCUCAACUUAUACCACAAGGCAUUUCAAUAAAUCAUGACAUUCCACAUACCCCCUUAUAAUCUUAACCAAUCUCUUUAAUCAAUAACUCAACCUCUUAAGAUUAAAGUUGCUCAAAAUUUUCCCUUUAAAGUUCAUUUCCAAGUCUCAUUUUGAUUACUAAUCAUUUCUAUAUUUCCAAUGUCAUAGCUAAUUUGCUCGUCAUCAAUCACCUACAACAUAUCUAACUUGAUAUUUCUCAAAUUUACUCCAAACAUCAGAUCUCAUGGCCUCAUUAGUUAUCAAUCUGAAGAUCAAAUUAAACAUUUAUCUCUCCUUAAGUGCACUUUAAAAGUUAAGAAUCAUCUAUUAAGACCUUUAUGAUAUUAACUUCUUUUAGUCCUUUUUACCUUAGAAAAUUAAAUCUGUAAUCAUUCAUUUUGAAUCAUGAGCUUUAUACCAAUCAAGGUAGAUUUUACACUUUUAAUUAUACGAAUUCAAAUGCACACCUUUACGCAUAAGCUAUAAACUUUUCCCCACAUCUUUAUAUAUCAAAACUAUAUAUAUUGAAGUUAUACCAAAACUGAUACAUCAUUUUCCAUUGCCCCUUAGGAUAUUAAAUUCAUGUCAUACUUCUCUAUUUGUGUACUUCAUAAUAACCUAACAAUUUCUAGCUCACAGUUAAGCUAGUUCAUAUGCCAAGCCUCUCAGGCUAUAUCAAAACACCAAGUUUUAUCACAAUAUAAUAGAAUUUGAUGAACUCAUACCAAAAGUAUAAAUACUUACUUUUAAGCUAACAACAUUAUAAUCCACUUGUUCACUACCAAAAUCAAUGAUAAAUUAUCUUAAUCAUUGUCUAGCACUAUAACCAUUGAUACAAUAUCGUCAUCGAAUCAAAUUAUAACUAACUCCGCAUGAGCUUUUAUACCAAUAUGCAACAUAUAUAUUUUCAAAAAUUUUAACUUCAAAUAGCCUUAGGCAUAUCAAGCUCAAUAAGCCAUCUGUAAAACCAAAAUAACCAACAAUCAAGUUUAGAAUCAUUUCUUCUCUUGGUUGGCUAGAUCAUGCUCAUCAUUUGUGGUGAAUACACAAAGCUGAUUUCAAUAUUCCAUUCUCAUACAAGAGUCAACCACUAAUUGGCAACAUCUCCAAACACCAUGUGUUUUAUAAGUCGACUUUCUUAAUCAAAAUUCAUAUUGUAGUAUUCCAACUUUAGGUCAUGUCUCAUUACCAAAUCUUUACUCGUAUACGAGUACUUGAAUUCUUAAAUCAUCAUCUUUUUUCUAAGUAGAUCUUUGUAAUUCCCGUAGCGUAUUUCUAUUUCCUCAUGUCAAACCCUAUUCUAUAAAAUAAUUACAACGUCAUUUACAUGCUCAAUAGAAUGUUUGCAUAUUUAGGAAGUUCGAGGAAUCGUUAAAAGAUGAUAUUGCCCCUAAUGGUACUAUUGAGUCAAUUAAGCCUCGAACUAGUUCAAAUAGGAAUUUUAAGGUGAAAUUAAGAGUUUCACAGUUUAGGGAUGACUCAAAAUGGUAAUUCGGAGUUCGAGGAUCAAUUCGGAGUCAAAUCAAAAUUUUAACUAUUUAGGGGUAAAAUGGUCAUUUGCCACUUGGGGACAAAAUGAAAAUUUUUAGAAAAGAUUUUUUUACCUUAUUUAACUUAUUGGAGUAUGAUUUGAGUAUUGGAGUAUAAUUUGAGGGUUUGGCAGUGAAAAAGUUUAAUUCCAGUGAUUUCUGGAGUGUAGGGGCAAAAUCGUAAUUUUUCUACUCGCGAACAAAAUUUUAGAUUUUGAGAGAAUUUAGAUCACAUUUGACAAAUUGGAGAAUGGUAUGAGUAUAAGGGAUGAAAAAUAUGUCUAUGGGCAAUUUUUCAGUUUUUGGGNNNNNNNNNNNNNNNNNNNNNNNNNNNNNNNNNNNNNNNNNNNNNNNNNNNNNNNNNNNNNNNNNNNNNNNNNNNNNNNNNNNNNNNNNNNNNNNNNNNNNNNNNNNNNNNNNNNNNNNNNNNNNNNNNNNNNNNNNNNNNNNNNNNNNNNNNNNNNNNNNNNNNNNNNNNNNNNNNNNNNNNNNNNNNNNNNNNNNNNNNNNNNNNNNNNNNNNNNNNNNNNNNNNNNNNNNNNNNNNNNNNNNNNNNNNNNNNNNNNNNNNNNNNNNNNNNNNNNNNNNNNNNNNNNNNNNNNNNNNNNNNNNNNNNNNNNNNNNNNNNNNNNNNNNNNNNNNNNNNNNNNNNNNNNNNNNNNNNNNNNNNNNNNNNNNNNNNNNNNNNNNCUUGAGUUUUGGUUGAUUUUAAUUGAAUUAAGUGAUUUUAGUUAGGUUAUAUUGAAACAUAGCAAAAAUAAGCUAGAGAAAUAAUUUUCUCCCAUUGAAACCCAUUAUACCAAAUUUUCUAGGGGAAUAUUGGCUGCUGAUCUUGAUGUUUAUUUGAGGAAUUAUGAUGAAUAAUGAUGAAUUAUGAGCCUAGAAAAAUAAUGGGAAUUUUCGGAGCAAAAAUAUGAAUUUGUACCCACUAAGGGUAUUUUCGUAAUUUGCUAUCGAGACUAAUAAUUUGCACCACCUUGAGGGACAUUAAGUCAAAUUGGGUGUAAUUGAGGUAUAGAAACUGAAAAAAAACUAAUUUGGAGUUUAAACGGACGCGUAUAUCGAUUUAUCGGAUAAAAGAUCGAAAUAGGCUAACACCGCAUUUAAGCAGUAGUCGGAUAAGUUGCAUAUCAUAUCAUGCAUAUACAUCGAGCCUGAAAUAGCUUAUGACUGUUAGACACAAUUUAAUUGGAAUAUGUGUUAUGGAUUAUGGCUAGGUGGUGAGCCAUUGGAUACGGGUAAAAGAUUGUACCCGCAGACUAAAAAUGGGAGUAUUUCUACUCCUAAUACUGUGAGUGGACAACUUAUCGUCUUAAAUAUCUAGAGUUAUUAUACUUGUUUGAUGCUUUUAUUGAAUGGUGAGUUUAAAUUAUAAAAUAUUAUGCUUUCCAAUUAAAAUGUUUUUUAAUAAAAAUGAGAUUUAUACUGGUUUUGAAAUCAAAUAUUGUUUUGGGAAAAUUGAGUAUAUGGAGACUGUGUUGAAAUUUAUGAUUUUAUAUGUUAUUGAAAUUGUGACUUAUGAUACUAUGGUAGCAUGAUGGCUAAAUUUUUUGGGUUAGCAUGAAAUAUAUGAACAGUUUUGGAUUGGUCUCGGUAGACUGGAUUACAUUUUAUUCGUCAUAUUAUGCUACUGAAAUUUUUAUGGGUUUGGUGGUAUAUUAAACGGUCACUGCAGUGGUGGGGGUUUCCGUGGACUGCCUAUGAGAGUGGUACGGUAACCCAAUUAUAUAAUUACCUCCGGGGGGAGAUGUUGGAUGAAGUAUCUCCUGAGGUAAGAUUUGAGUGCACCUCACGUUCAAGCCACCACGUGAGAGUGAGACUCAGCCAACGCCAAGGAACAGCUGUGUGUCAGAUGUGAAAACAUCUUUAUGGGUAUGAGUCAUUUAACAGCCUUGGCGAUCUCAGUGGGAUACCUUGACGAGGGUACUCGCGAGAAUGAUUCUGGCAAGGGCCAAGUUUAAGAAAUUCAUAAGCCGAGAAAUUUUGAUGAAAAGAAAUUGUUUGGUAUAGAUUGAAACAAAUUUUGUGUUAUGAACAUUUUUGAGAUAUAACGUUUUUUUAUUGUCUCCAUCUACUCAGCUUUAGAUGCUUUUGAUGGUAAUUGUUUACUCACUAGGAUUAUGUAAUCAUAAUCUCACCCCUCUUCCUAUCCAUUUUUCAGGCUCAGGACAAUUUGUUGAUAGUUGAUUAAGACGAGAAUUAAUCUCAGAGUUGCAUCCUAGAAAGUAAGGGUUCGUAGCCCUACAUCUUCUUAGUCAGUUGGGGGCCCACGUGUCACUGUAAAAAUAAUUUUAUUCUUCAGUUAUUUGAUUUUAAGUAUGUAUGAAUAUAUUUAGCUUUUACACCAUGUUUUUGGUGAGUUUCGGUAUUUUCGAAGAAAAAUGAUGAAAAUGCCCCUGUGAGCCA